ACUGCUGGACAAGGAGUGUUCUGUUGAGCUCAUUUUCACACGAUGAACAACUGGCUUAGAACUGAUUCGGGCAAGGGGAAUCCGACUGUUUAAUUGAAACAAAGCAUUGCGAGGGCCUCAAAGGGUGGUGCCACAAUGUGAUUUCUGCCCAGUGCUCUGAAUGUCAAAGUGAGGAAAUUCAACUAAGCGCGGGUAAACGGCGGGAGUAACUAUGACUCUCUUAAGGUAGCCAAAUGCCUCGUCAUCCAAUUAGUGACGCGCAUGAAUGGAUUAAUGAGAUUCCCACUGUCCCCAUCUACUGUCCAGCGAAACCACAGCCAAGGGAACGGGCUUGGGUAAAUCAGCGGGGAAAGAAGACCCUGUUGAGCUUGACUCUAAUCUGACUUUGUGAAAUGACUUAGGAGGUGUAGGAUAUGUGGGAGCUCUGGUGAUCUUGAAAUACCACUACUYUUAAUGUCACUUUACUUACUCUAUCAGACUGUGGCCUGCUUCCCAGCAGGUUUUUGUUUCAAGGCAUCUCAUCUGACUUGUUGACUUGCGUAGAGGACGUAGUCAGGUGGGCAGUUUGGCUGGGGCGGCACAUCUGUUAAAGGAUAACGCAGGUGUCCCAAGGUAAUGCUCAAGGAGAACAGAAAUCUCAUGUGGAUCAGAA
rnacentral:rRNA from 1 species